ensembl:lncRNA
UUUCAGACUCCAUUAUGAAUUUACCAGUCGGAGUUGUUCUUUUUCAAUACUGUUUAAGGUGAACAGCUUUUACUUCUCAUGUCCUUUCAACACAAUUGUACUUCUUUCCAAAUGCAGCGUAGCUAUGACCCAAUUUAUAGCCCUAGGUAAUUUUUGUGGUAUUACAGUUCUCUUCCAAGAACACACAGGCUCAUGAGUUUUUAUUUUAUACGUGUUUCCUCACAUUAGCAUGCAGCUCUGUUAGAAUCACAUAAUUUCUGCACUUGUUUUUUGUGCUCUCAUGUUUACAUUGGAGACAGUUCAAACUUCUGCAGUCAUCGUUGGUGUCCCAAGAGAUGGAGGACUUCCCACAUAACCAAAGCCAGCUGACUUGUUAGAUCUGAAAGAGAAAUCCACAUUAUGAUACAAAAAUUUGGACCCUAACAUGAAGAUCUGAUGAUACACUACACAAUACAGAAAGGAAUCUGUCUUUACAGAGCUACACUCUGAGGAAGGAGACAUGAAAUUCCAUGAACUGCUAGCUCUUCAUUCAAGCCUGGAAUGCCAUUGUCCAUUACCUGAAAACUUGUCUCAAGAGACUUAACAAGAGAGCGAAGCUCUAAAAAUCCGUCUGCACAAAGCACCAGGCAGUGUGCAGCAGGAGACAACUCUGCUGCGCUUGGACUUGACACGCAACCUUUUCCCUCUUUGACUUCUGUUAUUUUAGGACAGUAAUCUGCUACACUCAGACCGCUGUCCUUGGCAGAGACUGAAGCACAGCUAACACAGUGAUGUCCUUGCUUAUAACUUGUAACACAGGGUAGGAAUGACAACUCAGAGCCUAGAUUAUGUGGAGCUCACUGCAAAAAAUAAUAUCCUUUUCUCUCAUUUUCUCCUCUCUGCCUCAAAGCAUUUGGCAUCAGCCUCAGCUUUUCUUGAUUGUGAGUACUGAAUGUGUCAGAGGUAAGAGAAAGCUCAGCCUGAUAGUGAUAUCUGAAAUGUUUUUCCUUUCCUCUGGAAAAAGGUUAAACUUUGGCAUAGAAACAGCACUGUGGAGCCCUUGCUUCAGUAAGAGCUUCUGUAAGUUUCUACAAGUAGCUGUUCUUUAGCAUGGCUGAUACCAGUCAGAAUGUAGUAUGAUUAGGAAAGUCAUGGGUUGCAUUGUGUGUGAAUAAAAUACAAGUGUACUUGCAAUGUGCUCACUUACA